rnacentral:rRNA from 1 species
UGACCGCGUAUGAAAGUACGUUUUCGACCUCGGGUGACAGGGAGACAGGUGGUGCAUGGUUGUCGUCAGCUCGUGUCGUGAGAUGUUGGGUUAAGUCCCGCAACGAGCGCAACCCCUACGUUUACGUUGCUAACGCGUGAAGGCGAGCACUCUAGACGAACUGCCGUUGACAAAACGGAGGAAGGUGGGGAUGACGUCAAAUCAUCAUGCCCUUAUGUUCUGGGCUACACACGUGCUACAAUGGCCGGUACAGACGGACGCAAAGCCGCGAGGUGGAGCAAAUCCUAAAAAGCCGGUCUCAGUUCGGAUUGCAGGCUGCAAUUCGCCUGCAUGAAGUCGGAAUCGCUAGUAAUCGCAGGUCAGCAUACUCGCGGUCGAAUACGUUCCCGGGCCUU